GGAGCACACCGAGCUGGGAUGAGUAUUUUAUACUCGUAACUGUGCUGAACGUAAGUCAUCAAUAAUUGCAAGAGUUGAAGAAACUCAAAAAUUAUUUUGAAUUCGUGGCAUUGUGUGCGCAGCUGUUUGCAGUCCUCCCAGCUGGACCGCGACCUUCCAGGGCCGGACUCCCUUUUUAUCCCUGGGCCUGAAACAUAAGCUCUCAAGUGUUUGACAAGUGAAUAGACAACACCGUGCUGUGUUGGUAGAAGACACGAGGGUGAAUAUGGCGUUCCCCAUCGAGGAAAACAAAUGAGGAGUAAGGUAAGAAUGCAGAAAAGUUUAAUAUUUAAAAAAAAUUAGAAAUAAACAGGAGGUUCCUGGUAAGGGUUUCAGGGAGAAGAAGCAUUUGAGCUGGGUCCUGGCAGGUGGAGGGCCUCAGGAGGAGAGGAGGGAGGCCGUGCAGCUGUGUCUCAUGGGUGUGUCACUGAGCGCACCUGUCCUGGGUCGCAGGCGGGCAGGACACGGGGCCGGAAAGGUCGAUCAGAGGAGCCCUUAUUACCAAAGGAAGGCUCUUUUCUCUGUGAUUUGAUGAUCUUCAGUGUAAGAUACGUACAAAUAAAAUCCACUAACCUGUUCAUAAGAAAUGUACUUUCCUCUUCUACAAAAUACAGUAAUAAUCAUUGCUCCCAUCAUGUGUUUGUCGUGCUAA